rnacentral:piRNA from 1 species
CCUUUUCAGCUUUUUUAGACUGGG